rnacentral:rRNA from 1 species
CCUACGGGUGGCAGCAGUGAGGAAUAUUGGUCAAUGGGCGGACGCCUGAACCAGCCAAGUCGCGUGAGGGAAGACUGCCCUAUGGGUUGUAAACCUCUUUUGUCAGGGAGCAACGCCGGCUACGUGUAGCCGGACUGAGAGUACCUGAAGAAAAAGCAUCGGCUAACUCCGUGCCAGCAGCCGCGGUAAUACGGAGGAUGCGAGCGUUAUCCGGAUUUAUUGGGUUAAAAGGGUGCGUAGGCGGAAUGCCAAGUCAGCGGUAAAAUCGAGGGGCUCAACCUCGCUCCGCCGUUGAAACUGGCGGUCUUGAGUGGGCGAGAAGUAUGCGGAAUGCGUGGUGUAGCGGUGAAAUGCAUAGAUAUCACGCAGAACUCCGAUUGCGAAGGCAGCAUACCGGCGCCCAACUGACGCUGAAGCACGAAAGCGUGGGUAUCGAACAGGAUUAGAUACCCCAGUAGUC